UUACGGCCAUACCACGUUGAAACAUAGGUAUUCAUUCGAUCACUGAAGUUAAGCAACGUUGAACCUGGUUAGAAUCUAGAUGGGUGACCGCUCGGGAAUACCAGGU